AUUGAACGCUGGCGGCAUGCUUUACACAUGCAAGUCGAACGGUAACAGGUUAAGCUGACGAGUGGCGAACGGGUGAGUAAUGCAUCGGAACGUGCCCGAUCGUGGGGGAUAACGCAGCGAAAUCUGCGCUAAUACCGCAUACGAUCUGAGGAUGAAAGCGGGGGACCGUAAGGCCUCGCGCGAUCGGAGCGGCCGAUGUCAGAUUAGGUAGCUGGUGGGGUAAAGGCUCACCAAGCCGACGAUCUGUAGCUGGUCUGAGAGGACGACCAGCCACACUGGGACUGAGACACGGCCCAGACUCCUACGGGAGGCAGCAGUGGGGAAUUUUGGACAAUGGGCGAAAGCCUGAUCCAGCAAUGCCGCGUGCAGGAAGAAGGCCUUCGGGUUGUAAACUGCUUUUGUACGGAGCGAAAAGGCUCUCUCUAAUACAGGGGGCUCAUGACGGUACCGUAAGAAUAAGCACCGGCUAACUACGUGCCAGCAGCCGCAGUAA
rnacentral:rRNA from 1 species